rfam:Moniliophthora roreri strain MCA 2952 kmer90.96677, whole genome shotgun sequence.
GGGGGUAUAGCUCAGCUGGGAGAGCAGCAGACUGAAGUGGUCGACACCAAAGUUGCUAAUCAUUCUGAAGGUCCCGCGUUCGAUCCGCGGUACCCCCA